CAGGCCUAACACAUGCAAGUCGAACGGGUCCUUCGGGACUGGUGCCGGACGGGUGAGUAACGCGUGGGAACGUGCCCCUUGGCCGGAAUAGCCCCGGGAAACUGGGAGUAAUACCGAAUGUGGUCCAGAGACCAAAGAUUUAUCGCCAAGGGAUCGACCCGCGUUGGAUUAGGUAGUUGGUGGGGUAAUGGCCUACCACUCCGACGAUCCAUAACUGGUUUGAGAGGAUGAUCUCCCACACUGGGACUGAAACACGAUCCAUACUCCUGCGGGAGGCACCCGUGGGGAAUCUUAGACGAUGGGGGAAACCCUGAUCUAUGCAUGCCGCGUGAUCGAUGAAUGCCUUAGGGUUGUAAGGAUCUUUCAGGUGGGAAGAUAGUGACUGUACCACCAUAAGAAGCCCCGGCUAACUCCGUGCCAGCUGCCGCUUUAAUACGGAGGGGGCUAGCGUUAUUCGGAAUUACUGGGCGUAAAGCCCACGUAAGCGGACCAGAAAGUCAGAGGUGAAAACCCGGGGCUCAACCCCGGAACUGCCUUUGAAACUCCUGGUCUUGAGGUCAAGAGAGGUGACUGGAAUUCCAAUGGUAUAGGUGAAAUUCAUAUAUAUUCCGAUGAACACCGGUGGCAAUUGCUGCUCACUGGCUCGAUACUGACACUGAGGAGCGAACGCGUGUGGAGCAAACAAGAUUAUAUACCCUGACAGUCCACGCCGUACACGAUGAAUGCCAGACAUCGGGUAUUCAUGCUAUUCGGUGUCACACCCUAACGAAUAAGUCAUUCCGCCUGGUGGAGAUUCGGCC
rnacentral:rRNA from 1 species